AUGGGACAUUUCUGUCCUCAGGGUGGUGGGUUACCCAAACCCUGUCCUGUUGGCAGUUUCCUCCCAGAGCCUGGAGCGUUCUCCCUCUCCCAGUGCAUCCCAUGUCCUCCAGGGAAAUACUGCCUCCACCCUGGAGCAGCACAGCCCACAGGUCUGUGUUCUGCAGGGUUUUUCUGCUCUGGAAACGCAAGAAGUCCCACACCUCAAGCCGAGCCAUCAUGGCUGAGCUGUCUUAUUGAAACACUGCAGAAUCAAACAGUGAAGACAGACUCUACCCUCUGGAUGGAGAAUCUGUCCUGCUUUAGCAGCUCUGCUAUUUCUAUGAGUGACACAAGCUGGAUCGCAGGAGUAUUGAUGCCACAGGCUGAUUCAGAACGUAUUGUGACUUGCAUGGCGGCACCUCUCAAAACUCCCAACACUACAUGUUUCACCUACAGUGGAGAUAUAUGCCCCAAGGGAUUUUAUUGCCCUAUGGGCUCUGCUUAUCCUCAACUCUGUGAGGCAGGCUCCUUUUGCAACAGAACUGGUCUAGGGACUCCAUCCGGACUCUGUGCAGCUGGGUAUUACUGCCCCAGAGGCUCAUCAGAACCUCACCAAACCCCUUGUCCCAAAGGACAUUACUGUCCCUUUAGAACCCCAGUUCCUCUUCCAUGUCCUCCUGGAACUAUAAAAAGUUCAGUCGGUGGAGCCACUGUUGAGGCUUGUCAGCCCUGUCCCCCAGGUUACUUCUGCCACCAGGGAGGAGGAGUUGAGACAAGUGGUCAGUGUGCAAAAGGCUACUAUUGUCCUGAGGGGCAGAGUUCUCAAACACCACAACAGCACAUCUGCUCAGUUGGACAUUAUUGUGAGAAGGGCAGUGUGAGGCAGACGCCAUGUUCUCCCAGCAGCUAUCAAUCAACAACAGGCCAAGGCAGCUGUGAAACAUGCCCUGCUGGCUUCUUCUGUCAAGAUCAAGGUAGACCCCAUGAGUGGACAAAUGGGAAGUGGGUGGAUGACGAUAUGUUCACUCGCAGAUAAUCCCCAAGUAAUCAACCUUUAAAUCACUGUGGGCUUUCGAAAAGAUGCUGACAAAUGUUUUCCUUUGGAUUCAUCAUCAGGAAUGACCCAACCACUUCCCUGUGGAAGAGGAUUUUACUGUCCCAGUGGAUCAG
rnacentral:lncRNA from 1 species